rnacentral:lncRNA from 1 species
CCCAACACUCUAUUUUGGUUUAUGAGUACCUCGAAAGGGGUAGCUUGGCUACAAUUUGCGCAGAGAUGAGAAGCUCAACAAUUUAGAUUGUCCAAAGAGAGUUAAUAUUGUCAAGGGUGUGGCGCAUCGCUUUAGCAAUAUGCACCAUGAUUGCGCACCCCCAAUUGUUCACGAGAAUAUCAAGCAGCAAUGUUUGAUUGAAAAGAGUUUGAGGCUCGUGAUCAGACUUUUGGCCACAGCUUAGCGUCUGAAGCCUGAUUCCUCUAAUUGGAGUGCACUUAAAGGCAUGUACGGAUAUGUUGCACCAGGUAACCGUAGUUUUAUAUGCUCCUAAAUUGACAUAGAAUCUAUUAAUUCACAGAUAGAUGAACAUUUCUUUGUCUCUGUCUCUCUCUCGUUUUCAGAGUUUGCUUAUACAAUGAAGGUGACUGAAAAGUGUGAUGUAUAUAACUUUGGAGUGUUAGCACUGGAAGUGAUCAAAGGAAGCCAUCCAGGAGAUUUUGUUUCCUCCUGGCAACCCAGCAGUGGGAAAAAUACAGCUGAAAGAGUAAUGGAUCAACGUCUUUUACCUCCCUCUACUCCAAGGAGGAGUAUAAUGUGCAUCAUGGCUUAUAUAGUUCAGGGAAAGGGAGGCUCACCCUACUGUAGGGUAACCCCAAGGAAACUUAGAACAAAAAUAGAGGCCUGCAAAACCAUGCAAAUCGUUUCUCAACUGUUAUCGGCCAGAACAAUUUUCUAAGUGCCUCAAAGAUGAUGUACCGAAAAUGUAAAGCUAUUUUUUCAUUAAUGAUGUAUUAGUAUCAAAUAGAUUAUACCAUCUGGCAAUUGUGUAUGUAUAUUUAUUGUCCACUUUAGGGUACUUAAUCAUACAGAUCAUAUAUAUAACAGGUUGUUGGCUUGUACUUUUAAUACUGUCUGAGAAAAAGAUAUAGCCAUUAUGCAAUUUUCGAUAUAUAGCGAUUAAAUUACACCAGAGGUCUUUGUAAAAUAAUCAGUUAUUUGGUCUGCUUAGUCUCGAUUGCACUAGAGAGGUGACUCUAUUCCCACCCUUUUUUGAUUCUUAGUACCCAAACCUUUCUCAGGACACCAUUUAAAAUAAACAAGGCUUUCCUUCUUAUUCCCAAACCGCCCUAUUUUCAACCUCCAAACCCUGGCAUAGUGAUUGAGGUUCUCACUUACUAGGUUCGAUAACUAGGUUUGAGUCUUAUCAUUGCAAGAUAUAACUUCUCUUCCCCUCUCCCCUCCGAAAGAUUGGCUAUAAAAAAAAGAAGAAAAACCUCCAAACCCCAGCCCGAGCCUAAUCCCAAUCCACCAAUGCAGCCACUGAUCCCCACCACCACCCUUAGUUCCUCUCUUGUCGUCACCACUACUCCACCAUCCUCCCCUAACCACUCCCACCCUUUUCCAGCCACUGCCGACCACUCUUCCAUAUCUGCCACUGUUCACCCCUCCCCAACCCAUCUCUGCCACCUCUGCCCAUUCCGGGCCCGUUGGUGAUUCAAUCCACCAUACGGUCCACCAUAAACUUCCCUUCACAAUCUAAGUACAAGGAUACGGAUACCCAACACAGCCAAGAAAACAAUAGGAACACAUGGAUAUGUAAUUUUUCUAAAAAUUGGGACAUGGACACGCCCUUGUACUAAGAACGUUCAAAUUCUUAAUUAAUUUUUAUAGUGUCGAAUCUCUUUCUCCAAGAAAACGGGGACAAUGUGACGGCUGCCAAUCACUAUAUACACAUUGUAUAACUCAAGGACCUCACAGGUUGGUGGUGUAAAAAUUGGAUCUAUCUAAUGGCAAUUUCCUAAAGACAAUAAAUAUGGGAAUCCCUCUCCCCAUCUGCUCUCUCCUCUUUCUUUAUCUAUCCAUCACCCUCUCUCUUUCUAUACAUACUGCAUUUAGAAGUGUAUAUGUAUAAGCAUAGAUACAUAUAUAUUCACUCUUGCUAAACUGAAAAACUUCCUGGCCUGCUAGCUAUUUGGACAAUUUCCUAUUCUUACUGAAUCUAACGGAUCCCUUACUUGAAGAUUAAAAGCUAGGUACGUUUGUUUGAAGUAAUAAUCAUAGUGCGACACACAUUUGCUUCUUGUAAUCAUAUCAAAUCUUUUUUAGUUUAAAUGAAUUCCCAGCUAGAAGCUAAGGCCACCAAAUUAUUCAAACAGGAAACUUGAUUUACUCAUAACACUACAGGAAAUCAACUAAAAAAAAACUAAUUAACCAGAUUCUCAUAUGGGUUCGUAUGCUAAUAAACACUUUUGGGCUGUGCAUACAUUUAAUGCACAAAUUUAAACAACGUAAACUAUAUAUGACUUCGAUUCAGUUUAUGGAUAAGGAAGCGAUUAAUUUGUUACCAGGCAAAAUCGCUGACAUCAAUUCAAACGGCGAUAAGGUCAGGCACUACACAGCAUAAUUGAUUUUCCUUCAAAACUUGUGCUAUGCUAGUGACAAUAUUGCUAAAGGCUUGGAUAGUCAUUGUAGAACUCACCCUUUCAAGUUGAACUUC